CGGGGAUUUAGCUCAGCGGUUCUGCCGCCUGCCUCUAGUGUAUUCAUCAUUCAUGUGUCCGAGCAAAGCAUGCCAUUAGGAGGUGGAGCAUGGUGAUAAAAGAAAGACUUUGUACUGACCAAAAGAGCACAAGAAAAUGAGAGAAAUACAGCAUCAGAUUGACUAGCCGGAGAUCGACACUAAACAUUGAAGUUAAUUCAUUACUAUUUUAUUUAAAGUUUUA
rnacentral:lncRNA from 1 species